rnacentral:tRNA from 1 species
UCCGAUAUAGUGUAGUGGUUAUCAUACCUGGCUCUCACCCAGGAGACCCGGGUUCGAUUCCCGGUAUCGGAA